rnacentral:tRNA from 1 species
GUUUUUAUAGUUUAAAAAAAAACAUUGGUCUUGUAAACCAAAAUUUUAAAUCAAAUUUUUAUAAAAACA